AUUGAACGCUGGCGGCAGGCCUAACACAUGCAAGUCGAGCGAGCGGCGGACGGGUGAGUAAUGUAUGGGGACUGCCCGCUAGAGGGGGAUCACCACUGGAAACGGUAUCUAAUACCGCAUACUAUCGGAUAACCCAUAUGGGAUUAGCUAGUAGGUGAGGUAAUGGCUCACCUAGGCGACGAUCCCUAGCUGGACUGAGAGGAUGAUCAGCCACACUGUGACGGGGACAAGGCGCAACCUCCUACGGAGGCAGCAGUGGGGAAUAUUGCACAGUGGGCGGAAGCCUGAAGCAGCCAUGCCGCGUGUAUGAAGAAGGCCCUAGGGUUGUAAAGUACUUGCAGUCGGGAGGCGUUACCGACAGAAUAAGCACCGGCUAACUCCGUGCCAGCAGCCGCGGUAAUAC
rnacentral:rRNA from 1 species